rnacentral:rRNA from 1 species
UGGGAAUUUUGGACAAUGGGCGCAAGCCUGAUCCAGCCAUGCCGCGUGCGGGAAGAAGGCCUUCGGGUUGUAAACCGCUUUUGUCAGGGAAGAAAUCUUCUGAGUUAAUACCUCGGGAGGAUGACGGUACCUGAAGAAUAAGCACCGGCUAACUACGUGCCAGCAGCCGCGGUAAUACGUAGGGUGCAAGCGUUAAUCGGAAUUACUGGGCGUAAAGCGUGCGCAGGCGGUUUUGUAAGACAGAGGUGAAAUCCCCGGGCUCAACCUGGGAACUGCCUUUGUGACUGCAAGGCUUGAGUGCGGCAGAGGGGGAUGGAAUUCCGCGUGUAGCAGUGAAAUGCGUAGAUAUGCGGAGGAACACCGAUGGCGAAGGCAAUCCCCUGGGCCUGCACUGACGCUCAUGCACGAAAGCGUGGGGAGCAAACAGGAUUAGAUACCCUGGUAGUCCACGCCCUAAACGAUGUCAACUGGUUGUUGGGAAGGUUCCUUCUCAGUAACGUAGCUAACGCGUGAAGUUGACCGCCUGGGGAGUACGGCCGCAAGGUUGAAACUCAAAUGAAUUGACGGGGU